rnacentral:misc_RNA from 1 species
UGUUUAUGGUGUCCUUGUGCCAUGGCAU